GUUAUAUGGUCAAGUGAAGAAGCGCAUACGGUGGAUGCCUUGGCAGUCAGAGGCGAUGAAAGACGUGGUAGCCUGCGAAAAGCUUCGGGGAGUCGGCAAACAGACUUUGAUCCGGAGAUCUCUGAAUGGGGGAACCCACCUAGGAUAACCUAGGUAUCUUGUACUGAAUCCAUAGGUGCAAGAGGCGAACCAGGGGAACUGAAACAUCUAAGUACCCUGAGGAAAAGAAAUCAACCGAGAUUCCCUUAGUAGUGGCGAGCGAACGGGGAUUAGCCCUUAAGCUUCAUUGAUUUUAGCGGAACGCUCUGGAAAGUGCGGCCAUAGUGGGUGAUAGCCCCGUACGCGAAAGGAUCUUUGAAGUGAAAUCGAGUAGGACGGAGCACGAGAAACUUUGUCUGAACAUGGGGGGACCAUCCUCCAAGGCUAAAUACUACUGACUGACCGAUAGUGAACCAGUACCGUGAGGGAAAGGCGAAAAGAACCCCGGAGAGGGGAGUGAAAUAGAACCUGAAACCGUAUGCGUACAAGCAGUGGGAGCCUACUUGUUAGGUGACUGCGUACCUUUUGUAUAAUGGGUCAGCGACUUAUAUUCAGUGGCAAGCUUAACCGUAUAGGGUAGGCGUAGCGAAAGCGAGUCUUAAUAGGGCGUUUAGUCGCUGGGUAUAGACCCGAAACCGGGCGAUCUAUCCAUGAGCAGGUUGAAGGUUAGGUAACACUGACUGGAGGACCGAACCCACUCCCGUUGAAAAGGUAGGGGAUGACUUGUGGAUCGGAGUGAAAGGCUAAUCAAGCUCGGAGAUAGCUGGUUCUCCUCGAAAGCUAUUUAGGUAGCGCCUCAUGUAUCACUCUGGGGGGUAGAGCACUGUUUCGGCUAGGGGGUCAUCCCGACUUACCAAACCGAUGCAAACUCCGAAUACCCAGAAGUGCCGAGCAUGGGAGACACACGGCGGG
rnacentral:rRNA from 1 species